rnacentral:rRNA from 1 species
UACGGAGGGGACUAGCGUUGUUCGGAAUUACUGGGCGUAAAGCGCACGUAGGCGGAUUUUUAAGUCAGGGGUGAAAUCCCGAGGCUCAAACUCGGAAUUGCCUUUGAUACUGCAGAUCUCGAGUCAGGAAGAGGUGAGUGGAACUCCUAGUGUAGAGGUGAAAUUCGUAGAUAUUAGGAAGAACACCAGUGGCGAAGGCGGCUCACUGGCCCGGUACUGACGCUGAGGUGCGAAAGCGUUGGGAGCAAACAGG